rnacentral:rRNA from 2 species
GACGAACGCUGGCGGCGUGCCUAAUACAUGCAAGUCGAGCGAAGUUUUUCUGGUGCUUGCACUAGAAAAACUUAGCGGCGAACGGGUGAGUAACACGUAAAGAACCUGCCUCAUAGACUGGGACAACUAUUGGAAACGAUAGCUAAUACCGGAUAACAGUAUUUCUCGCAUGAGAGAUAUUUAAAAGUUGGUUAUGCUAACACUAUGAGAUGGCUUUGCGGUGCAUUAGCUAGUUGGUGGGGUAAAGGCCCACCAAGGCGACGAUGCAUAGCCGACCUGAGAGGGUGAUCGGCCACACUGGGACUGAGACACGGCCCAGACUCCUACGGGAGGCAGCAGUAGGGAAUCUUCCGCAAUGGGCGAAAGCCUGACGGAGCAACGCCGCGUGAGUGAAGAAGGAUUUCGGUUCGUAAAGCUCUGUUGUUAGGGAAGAAUGGAUAUGUAGUAACUAUACA